CCCUACGGGGUGCAGCAGCUGUAUUUAUUACCAAUCAAGGAUAUUCCGAUAAAGACAUUGAAGUGCUUGAUGUGAAUACUUCCGGGUUGGGGCACAUAGGUAAAAGUAUAGAUGCGGUAUAUGUGAGACCUAAGAACGGAGGGCUAAGAAUGCCUUUUGGGAAAGAUGUUUUUCAAUAUGCCUGUAAAUAUAUGUUACUUGAAACUGAACAGAUAUUGCAUGAGAAUAACAUCCCUAUAAGUCAAUUGAACUAUUUUAUUCCUCACCAGGCUAAUGCCAGAAUUACUGAUUACGU
rnacentral:rRNA from 1 species